UGGGGAAUAUUGCACAAUGGGCGCAAGCCUGAUGCAGCGACGCCGCGUGGAGGAAGAAGGUCUUCGGAUUGUAAACUCCUGUUAAGUGGGAAGAAAUGGUAUUUCUGAAUAAGAAAUGCAGCUGACGGUACCACUAGAGAAAGCACCGGCAAACUUCGUGCCAGCAGCCGCGGUAAUACGAAGGGUGCGAGCGUUAUUCGGAGUUACUGGGCGUAAAGAGCGUGUAGGCGGUUUUUUAAGUCACUUGUUAAAUCUCCCGGCUUAACCGGGAAUGUGCGGGUGAUACUGGAAGACUAGAGUGUAAGAGAGAGAAGUGGAAUUCUCGGAGUAGCGGUAAAAUGCGUAGAUCUCGAGAGGAACACCGGAGGCGAAGGCGGCUUCUUGGCUUACAACUGACGCUAAAGCGCGAAAGCGUGGGGAGCAAACAGG
rnacentral:rRNA from 1 species